rnacentral:rRNA from 1 species
UGGGGAAUAUUGCACAAUGGGCGCAAGCCUGAUGCAGCCAUGCCGCGUGUGUGAAGAAGGCCUUCGGGUUGUAAAGCACUUUCAGCGAGGAGGAAGGGUAGUGUGUUAAUAGCACAUUGCAUUGACGUUACUCGCAGAAGAAGCACCGGCUAACUCCGUGCCAGCAGCCGCGGUAAUACGGAGGGUGCAAGCGUUAAUCGGAAUUACUGGGCGUAAAGCGCACGCAGGCGGUUUGUUAAGUCAGAUGUGAAAUCCCCGCGCUUAACGUGGGAACUGCAUUUGAAACUGGCAAGCUAGAGUCUUGUAGAGGGGGGUAGAAUUCCCAGGUGUAGCGGUGAAAUGCGUAGAGAUCUGGAGGAAUACCGGUGGCGAAGGCGGCCCCCCUGGACAAAGACUGACGCUCAGGUGCGAAAG